CUCUAUGGCCAUGCCACCCUGAACAAACCUGAUCUCGGAAGUUAAUCAGGGUCGGGCCUGGUUAGUACUUGGAUGAGAGACCACCUAGGAAGACCAGGUGCUAUAGGUG
rnacentral:rRNA from 1 species